GUUAACGUUUGUCAUUCCAUCCAACAUUUCUAUCUUUAUUUUUUACAAAUGUUUUGUUGCUAAUGUUCAUGAUUUAUCUUGAUGAAUGGUAACUGCAGCAAGACAAUAUGCCACACCUACUUGACACAAGCAACUUCUGGUUGAAUGACAAAUGAAAUCAACAUCAUUGACUGAAUGUUGAACUUGCAGCUUAAUUUCAACUUGAAAGAAAUUUAUGGAGUUGGAUGAAGGAAAAGUUGAACAGAAAAUUGCUGUUAAAGCAGCAAUAAUGGAAAUGAGACAUUGUAGAUGUUUGGGAGGAUUUGACUUAGUUAGUAUCCUGGAGCCAUUGGCACUUUAUUUACAUCAUUGCGGCUGAUCGAUGACAUAGAGGGAUGGCAAUAGCAUGUGGAGUGUGUCAUGUUUGUUACUGGAAAUAGAUGUGUAAAUGAACGGACAUGACAGCAAGCAGACAAUAGGUGGGAAGAUUGCUGAUAUGAGUGGCCAAGCAAUUGGUAGUGUUAGUCAUCUUGGCAUUGUGCGUGCAGCCAUCGCAUUCUGUUGAUGUGGAGUGCAUUGGAAGCAAGGGAGAACCGGGUGUUCCCGGAGUUCCUGGUCCUCCAGGAAGACAGGUGAGUGAUGGAUGUAGAAUAUAUCUAUUGAGGUACUAGUCAUUAUGAUAGAAAAUGUAUGGGAGAAGUGGGUGAGUGGAGUGUUGAUGAGAUAACAUGUGAGGGUUGGUUAUAUGAGACUACAGGAUAGAGUAGAAUGGGGAUUAUAAUGGUUGUCAGUAUGUUGAACAUAUGAGAGACCAAGUACUGUAUU